rnacentral:rRNA from 1 species
GACGAACGCUGGCGGCGUGCUUAACACAUGCAAGUCGAGCGGUAAGGCCCUUUCGGGGGUACACGAGCGGCGAACGGGUGAGUAACACGUGGGUGACCUGCCCUCAGCUCUGGGAUAAGCCUGGGAAACCGGGUCUAAUACUGGAUAUGACUCCAUGACGCAUGUUGUGGGGUGGAAAGCCUUGUGCGGCUGAGGAUGGGCCCGCGGCCUAUCAGCUUGUUGGUGGGGUGAGGCCUACCAAGGCGACGACGGGUAGCCGGCCUGAGAGGGCGACCGGCCACACUGGGACUGAGACACGGCCCAGACUCCUACGGGAGGCAGCAGUGGGGAAUCUUGCGCAAUGGGACGAAAGCCUGACGCAGCGACGCCGCGUGAGGGAUGACGGCCU